AUAGUAGUGUCAGAGUUUGAUCCUGGCUCAGGAUGAACGCUGGCGGCGUGCUUAACACAUGCAAGUCGAACGAGAGCUACAGGAGGAAGUUUUCGGACGGAAUCCGGUAGAUCGAGUGGCGGACGGGUGAGUAACGCGUGGGGAACCGUGCCUCAUACAGGGGAGUAACAGUUGGAAACGACUGUUAAUACCGCAUAAGACCACAGAGUCGCAUGACUCAGGGGUAAAAACUCCGGUGGUAUGAGAUGGACCCGCGUUCGAUUAGCCAGUUGGCGGGGUAACGGCCCACCAAAGCGACGAUCGAUAGCCGAUUUGAGAGAAUGACCGGCCACACUGGAACUGAGACACGGUCCAG
rnacentral:rRNA from 1 species